rnacentral:pre_miRNA from 1 species
CGGGGGAGGUCGGAUCCUGGGCUGUGUCCCUGGCGCCCAGUGUUCCCGGGCCUGCUCUGUUGUAUUCACGUUCCCGCCGGGUAGCCCCG